AUAUUCCAUAAAAUAUAUAUUGUUUAAAAUUUUCUGUUUAAUAAACCUUUUAAAUAAAAUAUUUUUGUAAGUAACUAUAAUAAUGGAAUUGCUAUUAUUGGUUUUGUUCUCAUAUUCCUGUUGUAAAUAGUGUUUUUUUUUUUCAGAAUAAGUUCAGCAUUAUCCUAGACACGAUUGAUAUCCCAGCACCCAAAGGAAAAUAUUAUUAACAGGAACGUGCCAACGGGACCCGAAGUGGAGAUUCAGGAAAAGAAACACACUAGGCAAGCUUGGUGAUAUUUAAUUGUCCUACGCCGCAUGUCGAAGAAAAAGGAAGAGAGAAAAUACUUUUCAAGGGUAAUAAAGAAGAUUCUUACAAUUUCUCUAUAGUGGUUCUAGAUGUUAAUAUAUAUUAGGUUUAAUAAUAAGAAAUAUAUAAGGCAAAGCAAUAUACUAUUAAUUUAAA